GUGCCAGCAGCCGCGGUAAGACGUAGGGGACGAGCGUUGUCCGGAUUCAUUGGGCGUAAAGAGCGCGUAGGCGGCCGUGCAAGUCGGAUGUGAAAAUCCGGGGCUCAACCCCGGACGUGCAUCCGAUACUGCUCGGCUAGAGGUAGGUAGGGGAGAUCGGAAUUCCUGGUGUAGCGGUGAAAUGCGCAGAUAUCAGGAGGAACACCGGUGGCGAAGGCGGAUCUCUGGGCCUUACCUGACGCUCAGGCGCGAAAGCUAGGGGAGCGAACAGGAUUAGAAACCCGUGUAGUCC
rnacentral:rRNA from 1 species